AGGACCCACCUCCUUCUUUCUCUGCCCAUUUUCCUGACCUUUUUACUGCAAUGAACUGCUCUCAGAAUUGGGGAGAGGACACAAAGAGCAACUUGACUGCCUGCUCUCGAGAUGUCAUUAUCAGGAAUUAUAUCUGCCCAGCCUUACACAGAUCAGCUGGCAGGCUGCAGAGCUUGUGAACUUUUUCUAUCUGGGGGUUGUAAAGACAGAAAUGUAAAGACUACAAGGCUCUUCAGAAGAUGCUUUAAUGGAAAUCAUCAUCUCCUCUUUAGUCAUUCCAAGAGCAUCCACUUUGAUGUGGUUGAGAAAUAUCGUGAAGAUGAUUCUGUGUUCAACUCUAGCCACAGCUCAGCAGCUUGGCAAACUGUCUCCUCAUUUUCCACAGAAUGAGAACUUUCCUAUGCUACCAAGUAUUUUGGGGAAACAUGACCUUAUUUGCGGAGCACAGGCUCUGGAUGCGCAGGCUCAGCGGCCAUGGCUCACGGGCCCAGCCACUCCGUGGCAUGUGGCAUCUUCCUGGACCUGGGCACGAACCUGUGUCCCCUGCAUCGGCAGGCGGACUCUCAAGCACUGCGCCACCAGGGAAGCCCAACAUGACUUUUAAUUGACUCUAUAAUACAUAGUAAGUAAGGAUGUGCCAGUUUAAUUAGUUCUUCUAUUGUGGGACAUCUGUGCUGUUCCCGGUUUUUCACCAGUGUAAAUAAUGCUUCAAUGAACUCUUUUGGACACAAACGUUUCAUUUUUCAGACAAUAAUUUUCCAAAAGUGUUAUUACUGAGGCAGGCAAGAACAAACAUCCAUUACUGUAGGA